UACAGAGGGUGCAAGCGUUAAUCGGAGUUACUGGGCGUAAAGGGCGUGUAGGCUGAUACUCAAGUCGGUUGUGAAAUCCCCGGGCUUAACCUGGGAAUUGCAGUCGAUACUGUGUGUCUAGAGUAUGGUAGAGGGAAGUGGAAUUCUUGGUGUAGUGGUUAAAUACGUAGAUAUCAAGAAGAACACCGGUGGCGAAGGCGACUUCCUGGACCAAUACUGACGCUGAGGCGCGAAAGCGUGGGGAGCAAAC
rnacentral:rRNA from 1 species